rnacentral:lncRNA from 1 species
UGGACGGAUGUGUUUAGCCUCAAGAUAACAUCACCAGCUAUAAAAGUGUCAGAACUGACCUCAAAUGUAGACACAGUGUAGGUAGAAUGUAAACAAAGCUAAAUAUUGUAAGUCUGCUGUAGAAAGGGAUUGAGGAGAAGACAGAAAAGUAAAGCAACAGCGAGAAUAAGAAAGUAAAAGAGAGCAAGAGAGUUCUUCCUUCUCUACUCUUCUUUUUCUUUCUCUUUUUGUGACGAAAGAGAGAGAGAGAAUAAUGGGGAGACAUCUUAAUAACCAACGAGGUCAGGAGCUAAGGAAAAACCGUUGUGUGCCACCACAAGGUAACCCGCCGUGUGUGAUCACGUGACCUCACAGGUGUGUUGCUAUUGUGCUACCUACAGUGGAGUGGCCAGGUGCACAACCGUUACACACACCCCGGGUAGCUGUGUGACGAGACCAGAGCAGUUGUAGAUGUCCGUGUAAUCAACUCGUCCUAGUGAUCAUCCAGUACAUAGCGGUUCCUGCAGCGGUUUUUCCGAUGACGUCAUGUCCAUAACCUCAUCGACGCCACCACAAGCUGCGCAGCUGCUGCUCACCGAGGACGCAGGAAAAUCUUGAACAAAAAUGUUAUCAGAACACAAAGAGGACGAGAGUUGUCCUUGUGAACCAAUGACAAACAACUGCAAACAAAUUCAGUUAAACCAUUCAGUGUGUGUGCGUCCCGUUACGUCCCGUCACGUCAUGUUAGUCUUCGUACGUCCUGUAACGUCAUGUUAGUCCCUGUACGUUCCGUCACGUCUAAGUACGUCUCAGUUUUGUCCACGCCGUCCCUAGAACAACCGAGGAAAGAGCAAAUAAUAGGAAAACCCUCUAGUAAGGGAUCGCUGCUCUGUUCAAACACUCAUGAAGCCUUAUCGUCUUUUGUCUGCUCUGUCAUCAGAUUACACCUACUCGGAGCUCUCCGGCAUUGUCGCUGGUGUUGUCGUGGCCAUGGUGGUGUUGAAUGUUAUCAGCGUCAUUGUAACAGUCUUCGUAAUGAAAAAGAAAAUAAAAGAUGACGGUUACAGCAAACCCAUGAGGAUGCAGACACAGCACAUCUACUUGGACAUCAACAACUCGCCCACUGGACAUGAUGGACAUGAUGGCGGAUUUCGCGGAAUUCAGAAUCCGAGGAUGCCAGGCGACAGUGACGACACAGCGAGCACAUACGACAGUAUUAAAUGAGACAGUUCUUACGAGGUCCUAAGCUGAAUUUUACACUCAUUCUGUUGUGAACUCAGUGCGUUUUGCACAAAACUUUCGUCCCGACCCUGAGUGUGAAGCCAUGACCAUCAUUUGACUUUUCAUCAGACGACGGAGGAGAUGCAAUAUAAUUAAAAACCGAGCUUCUCAGAGGACAUGUGUCUUUGCUUUCCCUUCCUCCCUCUCUCAUAUCAAUAUUUGUUGCUAUAAUAUGUUUAUUGAUAUUUUAAAUGGGUUUAUUUAUUUUUAUUUAAUCAAGAGGGUUACAUUGUAUACUCAAGAGAGCGGGUAUGUUUACUGACACUCAGAUCUCUAAACAAAUGUUGUGAAUAAAUUCAUAUUUUUAUCUUAGAAUUAGGAACAGAAAUGAAUUCUGUCAUAGUCUCAAUCUAUGUAAAUAUUAUGAUGUCUAUUUAUAUGUUUUAUAAUUUUAUUUUAUUCAAAUUGUGACUGGUUUCAUUUAUAUCAACAUAUUCAUGUGAGUCAGUACGUUCCACUACGUCAAAGUACGUCUUAGUACGUCCGUCUGGAAGUUACCGCACCUGAACUUUCAUGAGCAUCCAUACACACUGGAGUAACUGGUCGUUCUAUGUAAUGAAGAAAUUGAAAUAACGUACAAGUUUCGGGCAGUAAAAUAGCACAUAAAUUAUAAUUUUAAGAGAAAAAUAAUUUUAUUGAACCAGCACAGUGAUGUAGCAUCCUGUAGAGUCAUGUAAUAAUGAAUUUCAAUAGUAACACAUCAUUUCCUCAUGCAAUGCAACCUAAAGAUUACUAGAGUCAUUUGAUACAACAUCACAACUGAUAAAGAAGGAAAAUCUGUGUUUUCCUUAAUACUGAAAAUUGAUUGUCAAAAUAAAAAGAAGACAGUAAACAA